rnacentral:rRNA from 1 species
GACGAACGCUGGCGGCGUGCUUAACACAUGCAAGUCGAACGGAAAGGCCCUGCUUUUGUGGGGUGCUCGAGUGGCGAACGGGUGAGUAACACGUGAGUAACCUGCCCUUGACUUUGGGAUAACUUCAGGAAACUGGGGCUAAUACCGGAUAGGAGCUCCUGCUGCAUGGUGGUGGUUGGAAAGUUUCGGCGGUUGGGGAUGUACUCGCGGCUUAUCAGCUUGUUGGUGAGGUAGUGGCUUACCAAGGCUUUGACGGGUAGCCGGCCUGAGAGGGUGACCGGCCACAUUGGGACUGAGAUACGGCCCAGACUCCUACGGGAGGCAGCAGUGGGGAAUAUUGCACAAUGGGCGGAAGCCUGAUGCAGCAACGCCGCGUGCGGGAUGACGGCCUUCGGGUUGUAAACCGCUUUCGAAUGUGACGAAGCGUGAGUGACGGUAAUGGGUAAAGAAGCACCGGCUAACUACGUG